UGUUUAUAAUCUCAUCUACUUGUACUAUUAAAAAUUGGCGUGGUUGACGAAAUUACCAAAUAGUGAUAUGUAGCAUGCCACAUGUACAUCAUGCUGAUGUACAGGGAUCAACUUUGAAGAGUGGAAAUGAAUAAAAUUUUCAACA
rnacentral:pre_miRNA from 1 species